rnacentral:misc_RNA from 1 species
UUUAAUUCUUACUGUUAGUAAAGUACUUUCAAGUUGAUAAACAUAAAGUGUUAACCAGUUCAAUGACUGACCCUGGACAGAAAUAUGUAGUGCUGACUGUGAGAAAAAAUCAGCUCAGAUUCAGCUUCUGCAGUUUGAUCUAUGCCAGUAUGAGUUCCAUGAAAUUGUCUUUGGUUCAUGAAGGUGGCUAUGGUGAAAUAAAAAUUUGAGAAACCACUGCUCUAGAGCUACUACACCAACAGCAAAUAGGCUUGCAAACUUUCAAAAACUAGUUCCUUUUUGAUCAGGGACACAAGUAUCUUAUAACAACUAUAGGAGCAUGACACAACUCCCAGCACAGCUGACUCCCUCUAUGUAGCUUAGCCCAAAAUUAUUUCUUGAUUGGCACUUCUGGUGAGGCAACAGCAUGUAUUGAUCAGGCUGGUGGAGUUCAAAAUAUUAAACUAGUUUAGAACAGACAUUUUAGACCCUGGAAACAAAAUGGCAGCAAUUUUUACCAGAUUUAAGGACAUCAACAGAACUUUAGAGUACAAAAGGACUACAGAGCAAACACGGAAGCAUCUCAUCGGAUCUCUAAUCCUUUACUCUGUUUUCCUGUAUGUUAUAGUUGCUGUUGUCUUUUAUUUCUGGUAUUUUCCCAAUACAUUACUGGAUGGGCUUGUGCAUUCUUUACCCCUCUUUAUUUUUCCUCUUCUAAAAGUGAGGAAAAAAUUCCUGCUUCUGGUCGAAAAGGAUCAUAUCUCCAGAGAUGGAGUUGCGUCGUAGGUCAGCUGCUUCAAGAGGAAUUUCCACAGUCUCCCAUCCAAGAUUAAGUGCUGUUAGGCCUAGUUACCCUGCUAUACAAAUGUACAGUCCGUACUCUACCUUUAUAAAUAUGCCUCAUCAGAAUAGACAGU